rnacentral:lncRNA from 1 species
UUUUAAUUUCCAAGCAUAACAAAUUAAUCUUUUAGAAGUUACAUGAGUUUUCCAUCUCCCUGGAAUUUUCUUUUUCUCUUACCCGGUGAAUUUCUACUCAUUUGCCAAGACCCAGAUUUCAUCUCUUAUAACUUAGUUCUGUCAUAAUGUGAAGUGACCAGAACUUUCUUGGUAGGCAAAGGGAUGCCAGAAGUCCAGCAAACUAGGGAAAGAUAAUUAUGUAAUUGGAGUUCAUUUUAAUUAUUAAAUGGCUAUCUCAGCACUUUAUUGUAAAAGACCAUUUCACUGUUCAUCUCUCCUCAUUAAGUCCUAUGAAAAACAUCAGAUCCAGGCUGUCAGCGAGGAGGUGACUUCCUUGAGGUUAGCUGGACUUGGCUAUAGACACCAGGUUGGCACCCAGAAUUUUGAUAUUGGGAUGUCCCUUCCUAUUCCUGGUCCCUCAUAAAUGGAGACUCCACAGUGUGGCCCCAU